ensembl:lncRNA
GCUUUAUCCGCAGGUUAAACAACGGCUAACAAUGCUAACCAAGCAGUGAAUGCUGCCCUUUAUCAGCCAGACAAGAUGCUACAGGUAGAUUACAUAAAGCAAUCCAGCCAAUACCAGACUGGUAUUUGAAGCAAGUGGAAUUCCCAGUUCAUUGGUUGACCUUACGGGUCUGAGGGCUACAGGGGGUCAGUGCCGAGCGACGGGGGUCCUGCCGAGAGGGGUGGAGGCCUCUUCAUGGACCCAGCAUGCAGUUCCAUUCCCAGCACCACCUUCAGGCCUGUGGCCACUCCACAGGGGAGCAAAUUUGACUCCCGGCCCUCAUCUACUGGCCCAUGAAACAGAACGGAAAACACUUAUGAAGGAUUCUAGGAUAAUUGGAACCCACAAGCACUGGACCUGACUUCAUUAAGUACCGAGUAUCCCUUCACACACAAAGCAGGUGUGAAGUGGCCAAACUGUGAGUACACAGAGCUCGACAGGAGUCUCUGGAGAUUAUUAGCAGCUGAAAAAGUCCUAUUGGGAAGUCCACUUCCACAGCCCGCUCUACCUGUUUGCCUCAGACAUGCACAGCAUUAGUAUCUACACAAACUGAAAGCUAGAGGUAUGGCAGCUGUUAUACCGCAUAUCCUAAAAGCAUAAUUAG